GCCCGGCUCGCUCAGUUGGGAGAGCAUGAAACUCUUAACUUCAGCGUCGUGGGUUCGAGCCCCAUGCUGGGCG